AGGGCACCACCAGGAGUGGAGCCUGCGGCUUAAUUUGACUCAACACGGGAAAACUCACCCGGCCCGGACACUGGAAGGAUUGACAGAUUGAGAGCUCUUUCUUGAUUCAGUGGGUGGUGGUGCAUGGCCGUUCUUAGUUGGUGGAGUGAUUUGUCUGGUUAAUUCCGAUAACGAACGAGACUCUAGCCUACUAAAUAGAUCGUCGGCUUACAAACGCCGGCGAGACUUCUUAGAGGGACAGGCGGCGAUUCAGCCGCACGAAACAGAGCAAUAACAGGUCUGUGAUGCCCUUAGAUGUCCGGGGCCGCACGCGCGCUACACUGAAGUGAUCAGCGUGCUUUUUCAACCUACUCUGUCAAGAGUGGGGAACCCAAUGAACCUUCUUCGUGAUUGGGAUAGGGGAUUGUAAUUAUUCCCCUUGAACGAGGAAUUCCCAGUAAGUGUGGGUCAUAAGCUCGCGUUGAUUACGUCCCUGCCCUUUGUACACACCGCCCGUCGCUGCCCGGGACUGAGCCGUUU
rnacentral:rRNA from 1 species